GCGAGAGUGGCGGAAUUGGCAGACGCGCUGGACUUAGGAUCCAGUGAGUUCGCUCGUGGGGGUUCGAGUCCCCCCUCUCGCA
rnacentral:tRNA from 1 species